AAGUAUGGAGAUACACUUAGGCGCUUUAAUGCUCGUGUUGAUGAAAAUGAAAAGUUGGAUCUCGACAUUGAUGGAUUGAGGGCAAAGAUCAAAAGUCUCUUUAAUUUUCCUCAUGAUUCUGAUCUUACACUUACUUAUGUUGAUGAAGAUGGUGACAUAGUAACUCUUGUUGAUGAUGAUGAUCUGUGUGAUGUAAUGAGGCAGCGUCUUAAGUUCUUGAGGAUUGAUGUGCACCUGAACAAUGACAAAUUUGGUAAAGCUUAUGCUAGAUCAAGUGGAAGUUCUACUCCCUUGAGAUCCCCGCGAAUCCAGCAUCCAUUACCUGACAUCGACAGU
rnacentral:lncRNA from 1 species